GACGAACGCUGGCGGCGUGCUUAACACAUGCAAGUCGAACGGUAAGGCCCUUCGGAGUACACGAGUGGCGAACGAGUGAGUAACGCGGGAGUAACCUGCCCUUCACUCGGGGAUAACAGUUGAAAGCGGCAGCUAAUACCGAAUAUUCAGCUCCUGUCGCAUGGUAGGGUAUGGAGAGUUUUGGUGGUGGAGGAUGGGCUCGCGUCCUAUCAGGUUGUUGGGGGGGUGAUGGCCUACCAAGGCGUCGACGGGUAGCCGGCCUGAGAGGGCGACCGGCCACAUUGGGACUGAGAUACGGCCCAAACUCCUACGGGAGGCAGCAGUGGGGAAUAUUGCACAAUGGGCGGAAGCCUGAUGCAGAAACGCCGCGUGCGGGAUGACGGCCUUCGGGUUGUAAACCGCUUUCAGCAGGGACGAAGCGCAAGUGACGGUACCUGCAGAAGAAGCACCGGCUAACUACGUG
rnacentral:rRNA from 1 species